rnacentral:rRNA from 1 species
CCGAAAGGGUGACGAAGCGACGCCGCGUGGGUGAGGAAGGCCUUCGGGUUGUAAAGCCCUGUCAGGAGUUAAGAAAUGUAAGUGCGCUAAUAUCGCAUUUAUUUGACGAAGGCUCCAAAGGAGGUCACGGCUAACUCUGUGCCAGCAGCCGCGGUAAUACAGAGGUGGCAAGCGUUGUUCGGAAUUAUUGGGCGUAAAGAGCACGUAGGUGGGUUUGUAAGUCAGAUGUGAAAGCCUUCUGUUCAACGGAAGAAUUGCAUCUGAAACUGCGAGUCUUGAGUGUAGGAGGGGAGAAUGGAACUUCUGGUGGAGCGGUGAAAUGCGUAGAUAUCAGAAGGAACGCCGGCGGCGAAAGCGAUUCUCUGGCCUAUUACUGACACUCAGUGUGCGAA